rnacentral:rRNA from 1 species
UGGAAGUCGUAACAAGGUCUCCGUUGGUGAACCAGCGGAGGGAUCAUUA